AGUGAACGCUGGCGGUAGGCCUAGCACAUGCAAGUCGAACGGCAGCACAGUAAGAGCUUGCUCUUACGGGUGGCGAGUGGCGGACGGGUGAGGAAUACAUCGGAAUCUACUUUUUCGUGGGGGAUAACGUAGGGAAACUUACGCUAAUACCGCAUACGACCUACGGGUGAAAGCAGGGGAUCUUCGGACCUUGCGCGAUUGAAUGGGCCGAUGUCGGAUUAGCUAGUUGGCGGGGUAAAGGCCCACCAAGGCGACGAUCCGUAGCUGGUCUGAGAGGAUGAUCAGCCACACUGGAACUGAGACACGGUCCAGACUCCUACGGGAGGCAGCAGUGGGGAAUAUUGGACAAUGGGCGCAAGCCUGAUCCAGCCAUACCGCGUGGGUGAAGAAGGCCUUCGGGUUGUAAAGCCCUUUUGUUGGGAAAGAAAAGCAGCAGGUUAAUACCCCGCUGUUCUGACGGUACCCAAAGAAUAAGCACCGGCUAACUUCGUG
rnacentral:rRNA from 1 species